AUGAACGCUAGCGGCAGGCUUAAUACAUGCAAGUCGAGCGGUAACAGGUGUAGCAAUACAUGCUGACGAGCGGCAGACGGGUGAGGAACACGUACGCAACCUCCCUCAAACCGGGGCACAACCUUGAGAAAUCAGGGCUAAUUCCCCAUAAGAUUGUGGAAAGGCAUCUUUCAGCAAUUAAAGAUUCAUCAGUUUGCGAUGGGCGUGCGUUCGAUUAGCUAGUUGGUAAGGUAACGGCUUACCAAGGCAACGAUCGAUAGCUGGUGUGAGAGCACGACCAGCCACACGGGCACUGAGAUACGGGCCCGACUCCUACGGGAGGCAGCAGUAAGGAAUAUUGGUCAAUGGGCGAAAGCCUGAACCAGCCAUGCCGCGUGAGGGAUGAAGGUUCUCUGAAUUGUAAACCUCUUUUAUUUGGGAAUAAAUGCCUGAUUUCUAUCGGGUUUGAAGGUACCAGAUGAAUAAGCACCGGCUAACUCCGUGCCAGCAGCCGCGGGUAAUACGGAGGGUGCAAGCGUUAUCCGGAUUUACUGGGUUUAAAGGGUGCGUAGGUGGAUUGGUAAGUCAGUGGUGAAAUACUACAGCGCAACUGUGGAACUGCCAUUGAUACUAUCAAUCUUGAAUGCAGUGGAGGCAGGCGGAAUGUGUCAUGUAGCGGUGAAAUGCUUAGAUAUGACACAGAACACCUAUUGCGAAGGCAGCUUGCUACACUGCGAUUGACACUGAGGCACGAAAGCCAGGGGAGCAAACGGGAUUAGAUACCCCGGUAGUCCUGGCCCUAAACGAUGUCCACUAGAUCGCGGCGCCUUUGACGGCGUCGCGGUCGAAGCAAAAGUGUUAAGUGGACCGCCUGGGAAGUACGGUCGCAAGGCUAAAACUCAAAGGAAUUGACGGGGGCUCACACAAGCGGUGGAGCAUGUGGUUAAUUCGAAUGAUACGCGCAGAACCUUACCUGGGCUAGAAUGCAGGAUUGACCCGUGGUGAAAGCUCAGGGUAGGCAGCAAGGGUACACAGUCUGUAAGGUGCUGCAUGGCUGUCGUCAGCUCGUGUCGUGAGAUGUUGGGUUAAGUCCCUCAACGAGCGCAACCUCCCAUCUUAGUUACCAGCAGGGUUAAGCGGGGACUCUAAGGGAACUGCCGGUCGUAAGACGCGAGGAAGGUGGAGAUGAUGUCAAGUCAUCAUGGCCUUUAUGCCCAGGGCCUACACACGUGCUACAAUGGAGGGACAAAGCUGACCCUAAUGGCGAGCAUGCGCUAAUCGCAGAAAACGACGCCUUCUCAGUUCAGAUCGGCAGGCUGCAACUCGACUGCGUGAAGCUGGAAUCGCUAGUAAUCGUAGGAUCAGCAAUGAUACGGUGAAUAGUCGUUCCUGAGCCUUGCUACACACCGCCCGUCAAGCCAUGGAGCGGGAAGUGUACCGAAGUGCGGUAACCGCAAGGUAGCUACGCCUAGGGUACUAGGUGACUGGGACU
rnacentral:rRNA from 1 species